GGGCUGAUGGUGAAACAGGAAUCACACCUGCCUUGCAAGCAGGAAUUCGGGGUUCGAUUCCCCGCCGGUCCA
rnacentral:tRNA from 1 species